AGUGGACGCUGGCGGCGUGCUUAACACAUGCAAGUCGAACGAGAACGGAUUAUAGCUUGCUAUAAUUGUCAGCUAAGUGGCGCACGGGUGAGUAAUGUAUAGGUAAUAUGCCUCUUACUAAGGGAUAACAAAUGGAAACGUUUGCUAAUACCUUAUACUCCUUAUUAACAGAAGUUAAUAAGGGAAAGAUUUAUUGGUAAGAGAUUAGCCUGUAUUGUAUCAGUUAGUUGGUGGGGUAAUGGCUUACCAAGACUAUGGCACAUAACUGGUUUGAGAGGAUGAUCAGUCACACUGGAACUGAGACACGGUCCAGACUCCUACGGGAGGCAGCAGUGGGGAAUAUUGCACAAUGGACGAAAGUCUGAUGCAGCAACGCCGCGUGGAGGAUGACACAUUUCGGUGCGUAAACUCCUUUUAUAUGAGAAGAUAAUGACGGUAUUAUAUGAAUAAGCACCGGCUAACUCCGUGCCAGCCGCCGCAGUAA
rnacentral:rRNA from 1 species